CCUGGGGUUUGGGUUGCAAUUCCCCCAUUUGGGGGUUGCAAUUCCCUGGUUUGGGGGUUGCAAUCCCCUGGGGUUUGGGUUGCAAUUCCCAGGUUUUGGGUUGCAAUUCCCAGGUUUGGGGGUUGCGAUCCCUUGGGGUUUGGGUUGCAAUUCCCAGGUUUUGGGUUGCAAUUCCCAGGUUUGGGGGUUGCAAUUCCCCAGUUUCUGGGUUGCAAUUCCCAGGUUUUGGGUUGCAAUUCCCUGGGUUUGGGGGUUGCAAUUCCCCAGUUUCCGGGUUGCAAUUCCCCCAUUCGGGGGUUGCGAUUCCCUGUUUUUUUGGGUUGCAACCCCCCGGUUUUGGGUGCAAUCCCCCCGUCACCCCCGUCACCCCCGUGUCCGUCCGUCCCCCCAGUGCGGCUUCUUCAAGCGGGACUACAGGGAGCGGCUGGACCAGGACGCGGCCGGCGCCGGGACGGGGGACGACGGGGACAACGGGGACGACGAUAACGGGGACGAUGAUAACGGGGGCGAUAACGGGGACAAUGAUGGGGACACUGGGGACGCCCCCGCGGGGGACACGGACGGGGACCUCGGCCGUGGGGGGCAGGAGCCGCUGCAGGGGGGCGAAGGAGCCCCGUGAGCCGGCGACCGCCCGGCCUUCAUCCUCCAUCUCCAUCCUCCUCCAUCCCCAUCCUCCAUCUCUCCAUCUCCAUCUCCCCAGCCUUCAUCCUCCAUCUCCAUCCUCUAUCUCCAUCAUCUCCAUCCUCCAUCCCUCCUUCUUCCAUCCUCUUUCUCCAUCCCUCCAUCUCCAUCCAUCCAUCCGUCCAUCUCCAUCCUUCCAUCCCCAUCUCUCCAUCCCCA
rnacentral:lncRNA from 1 species